rnacentral:lncRNA from 1 species
GCCUUCACUUUUCUAAAUGUUUGUUGGUUAUGUAUGUUAGUUUAAAAUUAUAGAUUAUUUUUCUGAUGUAAUUCCAAACUAUAUGAUAUAGAUGACUAAAGAGUUCUACAUGAAUAUAAAGUUGGAGAGUGAUGAUGAUAUGGCAAAUAAGUUGAUGCUUUUAGGUUCCAAUAUAGUCGUAGCGAGUGACUCUACAUAAAGCAAACACAAGUGA